UACGUAGGGUGCAAGCGUUACUCGGAAUUACUGGGCGUAAAGCGUGCGCAGGCGGUUAUGUAAGUCAGGUGUGAAAUCCCCGGGCUUAACCUGGGAACUGCAUUUGUGACUGCAUAGCUGGAGUGCGGCAGAGGGGGAUGGAAUUCCGCGUGUAGCAGUGAAAUGCGUAGAUAUGCGGAGGAACACCGAUGGCGAAGGCAAUCCCCUGGGCCUGCACUGACGCUCAUGCACGAAAGCGUGGGGAGCAAACAGG
rnacentral:rRNA from 1 species